rnacentral:rRNA from 1 species
AUGAACGCUGGCGGCGUGUCUAAGGCAUGCAAGUCGAAUGGGUUAGACCCAUGGCAAACGGGUGAGUAACACAUUGGUAACCUACCCCGAAGUUCGGCAUAACUCGCCGAAAGGUGAGAUAAUUCCGGAUGUGCUCGGCUAACGAAAGUUAGCCGCGUAAAGAUCUAUCGCUUCGGGAGGGGCCUAUGGCUUAUCAGCUUGUUGGUAGUGUAAGAGACUACCAAGGCUACGACGAGUAGCGGGCGUGAGAGCGCGACCCGCCUCACUGGGACUGAGACACUGCCCAGACUCCUACGGGAGGCUGCAGUCAAGAAUAUUCCACAAUGGACGAAAGUCUGAUGGAGCGACGCCGCGUGGUCGAAGAAGCCCUUCGGGGUGUAAAGACCUUUUAUGAGGGACGAAUCAAUGACGGUACCUCAAGAAUAAGGGGCUGCUAAUCACGU